GAUGAAGAACGUAGCGAAAUGCGAUAAGUAAUGUGAAUUGCAGAAUUCAGUGAAUCAUCGAAUCUUUGAACGCACAUUGCGCCCGCCAGUAUUCUGGCGGGCAUGCCUGUUCGAGCGUCAUUUCAACCAUCAAGCCCCCGGCUUGUGUUGGGGACCUGCGGCUGCCGCAGGCCCUGAAAACCAGUGGCGGGCUCGCUAGUCACUCCGAGCGUAGUAAUACAUCUCGCUCAGGGCGUGCUGCGGGUUCCGGCCGUUAAAAAAGCCUUAUUUACCCAAGGUUGACCUCGGAUCAGGUAGGAAGACCCGCUGAACUUAAGCAUAUCAAUAAGCGGAGA
rnacentral:misc_RNA from 1 species